rnacentral:rRNA from 1 species
CCUACGGGAGGCAGCAGUGGGGAAUAUUGCGCAAUGGGCGACAGCCUGACGCAGCGACGCCGCGUGAGGGAUGAAGGUCUUCGGAUCGUAAACCUCUGUCAGCAGGGAAGAACGGUCACUGUGCUAAUCAGCAGUGAAUUGACGGUACCUGCAAAGGAAGCACCGGCUAACUCCGUGCCAGCAGCCGCGGUAAUACGGAGGGUGCGAGCGUUAAUCGGAAUUACUGGGCGUAAAGCGCUCGUAGGCGGUAUGUCAAGUCAAGGGUGAAAUCCCCGCGCUCAACGUGGGAACUGCCUUUGAAACUGGCAAACUGGAGUGUGUGAGAGGAUAGUGGAAUUCCAGGUGUAGGAGUGAAAGCCGUAGAUAUCUGGAGGAACAUCAGUGGCGAAGGCGACUAUCUGGCACAUAACUGACGCUGAGGAGCGAAAGCGUGGGUAGCAAACAGGAUUAGAUACCCUAGUAGUC